UACGUAGGGUGCGAGCGUUAAUCGGAAUUACUGGGCGUAAAGCGUGCGCAGGCGGCUUUGCAAGACAGAUGUGAAAUCCCCGGGCUCAACCUGGGAACUGCAUUUGUGACUGCAUGGCUAGAGUACGGUAGAGGGGGAUGGAAUUCCGCGUGUAGCAGUGAAAUGCGUAGAUAUGCGGAGGAACACCGAUGGCGAAGGCAAUCCCCUGGACCUGUACUGACGCUGAGGCGCGAAAGCGUGGGGAGCAAACAGG
rnacentral:rRNA from 1 species